ensembl:lncRNA
GACCAGGGGCCAUUCAUGUGUUAUGUGUUUAAUAAUUUCAGUAAUGACAUCAGCAAUCUGGUGAAGCUCUCCAUCAGCUGUCGCCAGAAAAUAUAAUUCUGAGGACAUCUCCAUCAGGAGAAUACUACGAGGAAGGAUUGAACAUCAGGCUGACAUGCUGGGCCAUCUCCAGACCUUCUGCCCUGUUUUACUGGUUUUUGAAUGGUGUUAAGCUCACCCAUACUGGACCACAGCUCAGACUCAUGCAUGUUACAUCAGUCAGGCCUUGAAUGAUGAAACUCAGUGAAAUCAACCAUCUCAAGCUUCAGUUCAGAUCGCAGAUGUGUCGGUGAUUUCAAACCACAAAGUUUUGCUGGAGUUCAGCAGUUCUGUCACUCUGUCCUGCUCCUCCUCUGGAUCCUUCCUCUCUUCCC